UACAGAGGGUGCGAGCGUUGUUCGGAAUUAUUGGGCGUAAAGGGCGCGUAGGCGGCCUGUUGCGUCCGCUGUGAAAUCCCGGGGCUCAACCCCGGGCCUGCAGUGGAUACGGGCUGGCUAGAGGCAGGCAGGGGAGAACGGAAUUCCUGGUGUAGCGGUGAAAUGCGCAGAUAUCGGGAAGAACACCCGUGGCGAAGGCGGCUCUCUGGGACGGUACUGACGCUGAGACGCGAAAGCGUGGGGAGCGAACAGG
rnacentral:rRNA from 1 species